rnacentral:piRNA from 1 species
UGGUUCUAAGCCAUUUUUGCAGAGAAG